GAUGAACGCUAGCGGCAGGCUUAACACAUGCAAGUCGAGGGGUAGAGGUUGCUUGCAACCUUGAGACCGGCGCACGCGUGCGUAACGCGUAUGCAACCUACCUUUUACAGAGAGAUAGCUCAGAGAAAUUUGGAUUAAUACCUCAUAGUAUAAAACCUUCGCAUGAUGGUUAUAUUAAAGUUCCAACGGUAAAAGAUGGGCAUGCGUCCUAUUAGCUAGAUGGUAAGGUAACGGCUUACAAUGGAUACGAUAGGUAGGGGUCCUGAGAGGGAGUUCCCCCACACUGGUACUGAGACACGGACCAGACUCCUACUGGAAGCAGCAGUGAGGAAUAUUGGACAAUGGGCGCAAGCCUGAUCCAGCCAUGCCGCGUGCAGGAAGACGGUCCUAUGGAUUGUAAACUGCUUUUGUACGGGAAGAAACACUCCUACGUGUAGGUGGUUGACGGUACCGUAAAAAUCAGGAUCGGCUAACUCCGUGCCAGCCGCCGCGGUAAAAC
rnacentral:rRNA from 1 species